rnacentral:rRNA from 1 species
UACAUAGGAUGCAAGCGUUAUCCGGAAUGAUUGGGCGUAAAGCGUCUGUAGGUGGCUUUUUAAGUCCGCCGUCAAAUCCCAGGGCUCAACUCUGGACAGGCGGUGGAAACUACCAAGCUGGAGUACGGUAGGGGCAGAGGGAAUUUCCGGUGGAGCGGUGAAAUGCGUAGAGAUCCGGAGGAACACCGACGGCGUAGGCAGCGCCCUGGCUGUGAAUAAAGCUGACACUGAGGCACGAAAGCUGGGGGAGCAAACAGG